GUUACAAAAGUUAAUUGACAUAAAUAUUAACUUAAAAUCAGCAUAAAACUUAAAUUUAUAUCUAAGAUGGAGCAUCAAUAUGGAAGCAAAGGUUGAUUUAAGGGUUAUAAUUUCAUACCAGACUAAGUUUCUAUUUUAUAAUUUUUAUGAAUCCCUUUUUUCAUUUCAUUGAGUACUUGCUGUUUUUCAAUUCUCACUUUCUAAAAGUAUAAAUAUAUUAUAAACAAUCAACCUUUAUGACUCUAACUUAAACUGAAAUUGUUUGUUGGACAUAAACAGAGAUAUUUCCAACUAGUAGCAAAUCACUAAUAAAAUCUACACUUAUAUAUAUAUCUGCUUUAUGGCGGCGUGGUGAUAAAUGAUAAUUCACGCAUUUUGAUCGCAACACUUUUAGCGAAUACAUCAUAUCGGUCUUCGCUAAUAGCGGGUCGCUUAAAGUGAUUCUGUACCGACAUAAGUACAUCAUUGACAAUUUCCACGAACUGAACAGGAAUGGAAAUUUAUAUCCAAACAAUUUGAAGAAAGAUGGAAUUUCCCUCAUUGCCUUGGAGCGAUUGAUGGGAAACACGUAGAUAUUACGCCUCCAGAAAAUAGUGGAUCAUAUUAUUUUAAUUACAAAGGAAAACAUAGCAUUCUUCUUAUGGCAAUAGUGGAUGCGAAUUAUCAAUUCUUGCUGUGCGAUUUUGGUACCAAUGGAUGGAGGUGUUCUUCAAAAUACAGAAUUUUAUGAAAAAUUACAAAAUAAUAAUUUAAAAAUUCCCCUCGCGGAAAGCGUGGAACACAGUUCCAGAAGACUCCCAUACGUAUUCGUGGCUGAUGAUGCAUUUUCUUUAAGAUGCGACAUGA